AUCCAGCUGACGAGUCCCAAACUGAACGAAAUGCGCAUCCUAGAU
rfam:Schistosoma mansoni, Puerto Rico, WGS project CABG01000000 data, contig: 1726